GGUUGGUCUAGAUUUGUUCCAGAUUGGUAUACUGAAUAUUCUUUUGACCUUUCUUCAUCUGUUUGCUGUCCAAAGAUUUCUUAGCUGAGUAGAUAAAUAAAAAUAUAAAAUUAGUUAACUAUGGCCAAGAAUACAGACGUUUGAAGUCUAGAGACAUUUUGAGCUGAAGUCUUUUUUAAAAAUUACAUUUGUUGGGAAACAUUGGUUAAUAACAUUAUAUAGGUUUCAGGUGUACAACUGUAUAAUACAAUACAUCAUCUGUGUAUCCCAUUUUGUGCUCAUCACCCAAAGUCUAGUCUCCUUUUGUUGCCCUUUUACUCUCUUCACCAUCUUCCUCCUGCCCCUUCUCUGGUAACUGUUGUUUGUGACUGUUUUGUUUAUUCAUUAGUUGUUUUUUGUUUUAUAUCUCACAUAUGAGUGAAAUCACGUUCUUGUCCUUUGCUGUCUUAUUUUGUUUAACAUGAUACUCUCAAGGUCCAUUCAUGUCUCAGAUGGCAAUAUUUCACCUUUUUCCAUUGUAUAUAUGCAUGGUAUCUUUAUCCAACCAUCAGUCAAAAGACACUUAGGUUGUUUCUAUGUCUUGGUUAUUGUGAACUGAGUUAGUCAUAUUGGUCUUGUGGGCCUUCCUUUUAAGUUCCUCUAGAUUUUCAAUUAGAAAUUAUCUUCCUGUUAGUCUAUUUACACAGUUCCUUCGGAAUCUCACAGUUAGAGAAUUCACAUUCUAAGUUUUGAGUCUACUCUAGAAAGUACCCUUGAAAUUAGAGUAGCAAUUUCCAAAGUAUGUUCAUGGGCCCCUAGGAAUCUCAGAGAUCUUUGCAGGGAAUUUUCAAAACCAUUUUCACAAAAUAUAAAAACUUUGUCUUUGUCACUGUGCCGACAUGUAUUCUGAUGGAAGAAAUACUGGUUUGGUGCCUUAGUACAAAUCAAAGCAAUGGACCAAAUAAUGAUAUUUAUAUUUUUUGUUUGUUUUUAACUCACUGGCAAUUUUUUAAAAAGCCCUGGCUGGUGUGGCUUUAUUGGUUGGGCUUCAACCCAUACCUAUAAACUGAAAGGUUGCUGAUGAGUCUUUAGGGUAUUUUGUGUACAAUAUCAUGUCAUUUGCAAAUAUUAUAAUAAGAAUUUUACUUCCUCCUUUCUAAUUUGGAUGCCUUUUACUUCUUGUCUGAUAGCUAUGGCUAGCAAUUCCAGUACUAUGUUGAAUGAGAGAAAGCGCACAUCCUGUCUUAUUCUUGUUCUUAGGGGAAAUGCUUUUAGUUUUUGCCCAUUGACUAUAAUAUUGUCUGUCAGCGUGUCAUAUGGCCUUGUUGAGUUAUGCUCCCUCUAUUACCACUUUGCAGAGAGGUUUUUUUUUUUAAAUCAAAAAAUGGGUGUUUGAGUUUGUUGAAUGUUUUUUCUGCAUCUGUAUCAUUAUCUGACUUCUUUCACAAAAAUCAAUUCUAGGUAGACUAAGUGUCUAAACUUUUACAGAAAAUAUAGAGAAUACCUUAAUGAUUUUGGAGUGGGUAAGGAUUUUUAAGUCCAAACCAGAAUGGAAAACUAAUCAAUUUGACUAUAUUGAAAUCAGUUACUUCUUUAUAGCAAAAGACACCAUAAAGUGAAAAGACAAGCCACAGAUAUUAGUAACAUAUAUAAUCAACAAAUGUUUUAUUUUUAAAAUAUAUAAAAAAAACUUCAAAUCUAUAAGAUAAAGACAAAAUCCUUAAAUUCACAAUGAAAUAUCAUUUCAUACUCAACAGAUUGGCAAGAAUUAAAGUAUGCUUGUCAAUGUGAAGAAUAGUUGAGAAAGUGGAGCAAUGGUAAUUCUCAUACUCAGUUGCUAUGGAUAUAAAUUAGGGGUUCACUUUGGAGAGCAACUUGGUAAUAUCUGACAAAAUUGAGGUUAUCCAUACUCUUACAACACUGUGUCUUUCAUACUCGCAAAUCACAAAUCUAUAGGUUGUAAAGUCUAUUUAAUGGGUCACAACUAGUAUUUUUUUAAAUGAAGUAUAGAAUAAACUAUACAUUGCAUGUAGGAAAGAUUGAGUAUUAUAUCACAGACUUUUUUCACUUUUAUAUUGAGUGCUAGGUAAAAUGUAUUUCAUACUGUUAAAAAAAAAAGGGAGGGGCUGUCUUUGAGAAGCUCAUUUACAUGUAUUCGAGAUAAGUAUUGGAAUUUUCUCAUGUAUAGUAGCAAAAAACUGCAAGCAGCUAAAAGAUCCAUUAAGAUAAUGAAUAAAUUGUGGAAUGUUCAUGAAUAAAAUACUAUACAGUGAAAAUGAAUGAAGUAGAGUUGCAUAUCAAUAUGGAUGUCUCUCAAAACAAUGU